CCUACGGGAGGCAGCAGUGGGGAAUAUUGGACAAUGGGCGAAAGCCUGAUCCAGCAAUUCCGCGUGUGUGAAGAAGGCCUUCGGGUUGUAAAGCACUUUAGUGGGGGAAGAAACAGCUUGGCCACACCAAGCCUUGACGGUACCCCAAGAAUAAGCACCGGCUAACUCUGUGCCAGCAGCCGCGGUAAUACAGAGGGUGCAAGCGUUAAUCGGAUUUACUGGGCGUAAAGGGUGCGUAGGUGGCUAUUUAAGUCGGAUGUGAAAGCCCGGGGCUCAACCUCGGAAUUGCAUUCGAUACUGAGUGGCUAGAGUUCGGUAGAGGGCGGCGGAAUUUCCGGUGUAGCGGUGAAAUGCGUAGAUAUCGGAAGGAACAUCAAUGGCGAAGGCAGCCGCCUGGGCCUGGACUGACACUGAGGCACGAAAGCGUGGGUAGCAAACAGGAUUAGAUACCCUGGUAGUCCACGCCGUAAACGAUGAGAACUUGACGUUGGUUCGUUUUACGAAUCGGUGUCGCNGCUACGACGAUAGUUACUCCGUCCGUCGGGUAGGUACGGCCGCGACGGUAGUAACGUAACGAAGUAGUAGACGNGNGAGAGCGACGACGACGACGACGGAGGAGG
rnacentral:rRNA from 1 species